rnacentral:lncRNA from 1 species
UGUAAAUAUUUGUAGUGUUAGAUUUAAAUCUACUAUUUUAUUGGACAUUUUCUAUUUGUCCCAUCUGUUAUUUAUUCUUUUUUCCUUACUUUGACAGGCUGUUUUUGGAUUUAUUUUCUAAGAUUCUAUUCAUCUUCACUAUUAGCUUAUUAGCUAUGCCUUUUUUCUUUUUAAUUUUUAGAGGUCGCCCUAGAGUUUACAACAUACGUCUUUUAUCUCAGUCUAUCUUCAAACAAUAUUUUACCACUUCAUGUAUAGUGUAAGAACCUUACAAAAAAUAUGUUCAUUUUUUUCUCCCUUCCCAUUUCUGAUAUCACUACCAUACGCUUUAAUUUUAAAUAUCUCAUAAUCCAAUACUGUUAAAAUUUUUGCUUGUAAUAGUCAAUUAUGUUUUAAAGUAAUUAAAAAAUAAGAAUAAUGAUAUCUUCAUUUAUUUUCACCUUUACCAUUGUGAAAGCUCUUUAUUUCUUUGUGUAGAUGCACGUUUCUAUCUGGUAUCAUAUUCCUCCUGCCUGAGAAUCUUCCUUUAACUUCCAGUAUCACAGGUCUCAACAAUUAAUUCUCUCCAUUUUUUUUUGAUGGAAAAACUUUUUGUUUUGCUUUUUAUUUUUUUAUUUAUUUUUUAAUAUUUUUUUAUUGCAGUAACAUUGGAUUAUAACAUUAUAUAGCUUUCAGAUGUACAUUGCAAUAUAUUUCGAAUUCUGUGUAGAUUACAUCAUGUUCACCAUCCAAAAACAAAUUAUAGUCCAUCCCUUCACAUGUAAGCCUAAUCACCCCUUUUGCUCUCCCCCCUUCCCCUAUGAUAAACACCAAUCCAAUCUCCAAUGCUAUGUAUGUGUUUGUCAUUGUUUUUGUUUUCUACUUAUGAGUGAGAUCAUAUGGUAUUUGACUUUCUCCCUCUGACUUAUUUCACUCAGCAUAAUACCCUCAAGGUCCAUCCAUGUUGUCACAAAUGGCUGGAUUUCAUCAUUUCUUGUGGCUGAGUAGUAUUCCUUUGUGUAUGAAUACCACAUCUUCUUUAUCCAUUUGUCCCUUGAUGGGCACCUAGGUUGCUUCCAAGUCUUGGCUAUUGUGAAUAAUGCUGUGAUGAACAUAGGGGUGCAUGUAUCUUUAUGCAUUUGUGCUUUCAAGUUCUU